rnacentral:lncRNA from 1 species
GAAGUACACCUAGGUUGUUUCCACAGCUCAGCUAUUGUGAGUUGAUGAGCCAAAAAGUUUUGUUGUGUAACAAAUGACCUCAUGUAAUGCCACAUGUAUAUUUAUUUGUUUUUUCAUGCAUAAUAAUAUAUUUCUUAAAAACUGGCCUCUGUGCUUGCCAUGACAAAGAGAAAGUAAGAUUCUUGGGGGAUCAGGGUGAAAAUUUUUUUUAUUCAAUAAAAAUAUGAGUAGCUAAUUUUUUGUUUUUGCAAAUAUAAAAAAGGAUCUUAUAAGAUGACCAAUUUUUUUGAUAUGUCACAGUUUUGUAAGAGGACAAAAGGCACAUUUAAAUAAAUAAUCACAGGACCCUGUGACAGGGCUGGAGCACAGCUACACAGGGACUGCAGCACUAGCUGGCAGCCCGACUGAGGAGGGCACAACGGGAAUGUGACCAGCAUUUUCUGUGUGUGGACAUGCACUGAUCCAUCAGUGGUCACCUUGCACUCUAUUUAAUCUCCCUCGUAUGUCUAUAUUCUCACCACUGUUCACAGUUCCUAAGAAUAUUUUUAAUAUCCUCCAAAAACAAUAAUUCCCAAGACCCGUUUCUGAAACUCUCAUAUACAUUUUUCUAUAUUUACUUACUUUUUUUUUGCAUUUUUCUCCCUGUCUCUGUAGGUGCAUUACAGAAGUAUAUAUGGUGGAAUUCGUUGCUACGUAUUCAUAGGCGCACACAGGUAUUGAUAUAA